GACGAACGCUGGCGGCGUGCCUAAUACAUGCAAGUAGAACGCACAGUUUAUACCGUAGCUUGCUACACCAUAGACUGUGAGUUGCGAACGGGUGAGUAACGCGUAGGUAACCUGCCUGGUAGCGGGGGAUAACUAUUGGAAACGAUAGCUAAUACCGCAUAAUAUUAAUUAUUGCAUGAUAAUUAAUUGAAAGGUGCAAUUGCACCACUACCAGAUGGACCUGCGUUGUAUUAGCUAGUAGGUGAGGUAACGGCUCACCUAGGCGACGAUACAUAGCCGACCUGAGAGGGUGAUCGGCCACCCUGGGACUGAGACACGGCCCAGACCCCUACGGGAGGCAGCAGUAGGGAAUCUUCGGCAAUGGACGAAAGUCUGACCGAGCAACGCCGCGUGAGUGAAGAAGGUUUUCGGAUCGUAAAGCUCUGUUGUAAGAGAAGAACGGGUGUGAGAGUGGAAAGUUCACACUGUGACGGUAUCUUACCAGAAAGGGACGGCUAACUACGUG
rnacentral:rRNA from 1 species